rnacentral:rRNA from 1 species
GACGAAGGAUGCAAGCGUUAUCCGGAUUUAUUGGGCUUAAAGGGUGCGUAGGCGGCCCGGUAAGUCAGUGGUGAAAUCUCCUUGCUUAACAAGGAAACUGCCAUUGAUACUGCUGGGCUUGAGUACAGAUGCUGUGGGCGGAAUAUGACAUGUAGUGGUGAAAUACAUAGAGAUGUCAUAGAACACCGAUUGCGAAGGCAGCUCACAAAACUGUAACUGACGCUGAGGCACGAAAGUGCGGGGAUCAAACAGG